CUACUUUUAGAAAAAAGUAUGAAGCAAUGUAUAUAUUUAGAAACUAGGCAUUGUUCAAUUAUAGCAAGUGCAUUGGUUUGACUUGAAAUCCUCCCAGUUUGUAAAUCCACUUGUUCAAAGUUAAAAAUGUUUAGAUAUUCCGUAAUAGUUGCUUUCAUCUGCAUUUUUGGAGGAGUUUGCAAAGGAAGUUUAUUUGACACGUUCUGUGGCAACCGUGAAACAAAUCAAAUUCUGAAAACGGAUGAAAACAUAAACUAUUACGAAGCAGAAAAUGUCUGCAAAGGACGUGGAAUGGAAAUAGGAAACAUUUGCAACGCCGAGCAGGACCAGUUACUGCAGUCUCAAAUUUCUGCUAUAAUACCGGAUGGUUCCUCAUCCCUUAGAAUUUGGACGGGAAUGAAAACAACCAGGAAUGAUAGAAUUCUUUUGAAAAAGUGACAAUCCACCUAUUACUGACUACCAUUUGAACAUAAGACUGUUUGAAUUAUGGAAUCCGGCGUUUAAGAGGGGAAAACGUACCGAAGGAAACACAUUAUGUAUCAUGUCUCAAAAAAGAGUAUCGGCACCGGGCUGUCAAAGAUGGAGACUCAAACGCUGAAUUAAUUAUGUUUGAUCCUUUAAAUACCGCCGACGGUGUUCUAUGUCGAAUAGUGCAGUAAAAGCCUUUGGACUACCUAUUCAGGUUAAUUACAUUAGACUACCUUUACUUGGCAUCUAGAUUAUCAUCAUCAAGAAAUUUCUCAGAAACGUUUUUGUGCUAAGAGAGUCGAUGUUUUCUAUCGUGUAAUGAAUAAAAACGAAGAAUUUGAGAACGAAGUGUUUUUAUUAUGUAUGAAUGUAAGAAGAGUAGUAAAUUUGCUAUUUUUCGCCAAUAAUAUCAAGUCGCAAGGACUAAAAAUGUAAUUGGUGCAAUGACAGGAUGUCCGUUAUUACCCAGUUUGUCUUAUAACUUAAUAGCUCGUGAAUUAAACAAAUAGGCAACUUCUUGGCAGUAGGCUAAUUUAAUAAUUUCAUCGUAAAAGUAAUAGGCUAAUUUUUCUUCGUAUUUGAAUCACUUUCACUCAUUUUAACAUUGAUUUGUUUUCAUGCACCGAUAAAUUUUAAAUUUGAUAGCCACUUCAAUAUUCCAUUUAUGCUACAAAUGCUGAAUAUUUUUCAUUUUUUAAAUUUACCAGUCAUUUAAAGUCGUAGUUCCAACUUCUUCUGUGGAUUCAUAAUGAAAUUCAUUAAUUUACCGUGGAUUUGGUUUCGUAUUCAAUAUAUCUGAUUGGCGCGUUGGGUUGGUUACUCUGCGAUGUGUUCACUGUUUUUUCGCGUAAGACGCUCAUUUGAGGAAGGAUCUGUUUUUUCGUUAUCCGGUCCUGUAUGAAGCUAUGAGCCUUGCGGAUAUGACAAGUGCUAAAAGAGUCCAUUUCUUGUGCGAAUGGGAGGGCCUGGGUUUAUGUCAAAUUUGAUAAAUAUAAUUUAACUUUGUAAUAGUGAAUUGGCUUCCAAAACACUUUAUUAAAAACAUGCGGUAAUUUUUUAUAUUUUGGAGCAUUUAAAUAUAUGCACAACAUUAAGUAGAUAUUUGGCUUUAGAGAGAAAAUAUCUGAGUAAAAAAUAGAGCAGAAACUGUAUACACGCAUGCAUUUGCUUACUUGGAUUGUAUUUUAACUCGUAUAUACUACUGUGAAUGACAGUGACGAUGCAUCACUAGACUGAACUGUGGAUGAGAACUAAUUGCGAUCAUAAUCACCGACCCGAACAAUCAAAUUCCAGCUGGCGUGCAAUAAGCUUUAUUUUAUUCAUAGAUCGCUUCCCCAGUAAUAAAUUGUGCUGGGGAUGUUAUUUUUAUGGUAUGUUUUUAGAAUGUAUUUAUUAUCUCCCUCUCUAUAUGUAUUACUGUACAAAUAUAACACAGACGUCGCGGAUUCGGUAGUCGAUUGCAUUACUGUAAUGUCAUCCGGGUAUCGUUAUUGACUGAUUUAUACGGCGGAAAAACAAUCGAGACUUGAGUAACGUUUUUGCUGGUUGUUUGAUUUAUUUUCCAACAAUGGUAGGACAUCAAAGUACAUUACUUAGAUUUAUUUGAAGGGGAAAUGAUGCCUGGUGGAUGCUGUGCCAUAUAUGCUCAGUCUCCAAACUUUGUGAAGUCAGUGAACUCUAACGUAAAGAUAGAUAUUAAGGAUAUCUAAUCCAAAUUUCUUUUACAUGUUGGAGCACACCAACGGGGUUUUGCAACAUUGGGUCACUAUAAAAAUAUAUAUAUAUGAUCAAAUCCAAACAGAAACGGAAGAAAGAAUAGAAAAUCUUGAACUUGAUAUAAAACUUGAAGGAGUUCAAAUUGUUGUUUAAAAGCUACUCCGGAUAGGCGGAUAUCAAUCCUACGAAAUGAGAAACUCAGGACAUUCUACUGACGACUAGGACCCUACUGAUGUAAUGGCGAUGGAAGUGAAAAAACUUCUACAACUCGAAGAAAUACCGGACCACGAAGUGGAAUUUGUUGUAACUCAUCAGUAUCCACUAAUCGUAUUUACUAAGGGAUAAAUAUAUUCAAAAUAUUCAUAUUUCAAUGUCUUAUUGAUUGGUGUAUUGAUAAUUAUUUUCGUCCUCAAAUUCGAGUCUGAUUUAAUCAUAUUGUGCGCUGCUCGGCCCAUUGCAGAAAUGAUUCGGAGAAAUGACACCGGUUAUGUUAGUGCGCUACACCGCUAAACAUUACAAUCACCAAGUUAUUCCUUGUAUGACGUGUCACCGCGCUUUUAUCGUACUUAAUGUAUGCUAUCACUUUAAAAUUUAAAUAUUUCCUCCUUUCCUUUGUCAUAUUACAUUUAUAAUUGUUUUCGUGAUCAGUGCCUUUUUGGUGGAGUUAUAUGUGUAAAAUAUCAUUUUUCAGUCUACUAAAUUAUCCUUGCUUACCGAAAAUAUUAAAUUUCGGAAUGAUUGAUCAACGAUGAUUGAGCAACAAUGAUUAUACACGAAUCAAAUUAACAUCACAGUGCUUUGUAUGAAUAACGCGUAGUAUAGCUGAAUUCAUGAUUAUUUAUUCCAGCACCGAAAAUAAUAAUUCUCGUAUUGUAGCUCUUUGCAUCUUUAGUUCAGUUAAAUCUUGCACAGA